rnacentral:rRNA from 1 species
GAUGAACGCUGGCGGCGUGCCUAACACAUGCAAGUCGAGCGAUUCUCUUCGGAGAAGAGCGGCGGACGGGUGAGUAACGCGUGGGUAACCUGCCCUGUACACACGGAUAACAUACCGAAAGGUAUGCUAAUACGAGAUAAUAUGCUUUUAUCGCAUGGUAGAAGUAUCAAAGCUCCGGCGGUACAGGAUGGACCCGCGUCUGAUUAGCUAGUUGGUAAGGUAACGGCUUACCAAGGCGACGAUCAGUAGCCGACCUGAGAGGGUGAUCGGCCACAUUGGAACUGCGACACGGUCCAAACUCCUACGGGAGGCAGCAGUGGGGAAUAUUGCACAAUGGGCGAAAGCCUGAUGCAGCAACGCCGCGUGAGUGAUGAAGGCCUUCGGGUCGCAAAGCUCUGUCCUCAAGGAAGAUAAUGACGGUACUUGAGGAGGAAGCCCCGGCUAACUACGUGCCAGCCGCCGCGGUAACAC